ensembl:miRNA
GGGGUCUUGUUAAAAUGCGGAUUCUGAUUCAGCAGAUCUGGGUGAGACCCAAGAUUCUGCAUUUCUAACAAGUUC